rnacentral:lncRNA from 1 species
UGACGUUACUCCUCACUGGCGGCGCAGAAGGGAAGAGGAGACGGAGUAGAGCCGGAUCCAACUGGUGUUCGGGUCUGUCUGCAGCGGCGCGUGGGUCCACGCGCCGCCAGUGGCGGAGGCGCGUGGGGCAGACGCGCCGCCACUGUUUCCGGCUUGCAGAAGGCCAUCCCUGUAAUUUCAGAUUGUUUUGGGGCUAAUUUUUGUAAUUUUAAGAUUGUUUAAUGUAUUUUUUUUGUUUAGUUUUUUUUUUAUUUGUAGUGUUGAUGUAACAAAAAAGAAAAGAAAAAAGAAAAGUAUAGUGAAAAGGAAAUGUGUGAUUUGUAUUUUGUUUAUGAAUGUUUUUUUUGUAUGAUAAAAUUGCAAG